rnacentral:rRNA from 1 species
UACAGAGGGUGCGAGCGUUAAUCGGAAUUACUGGGCGUAAAGCGUGCGCAGGCGGUUGUGCAAGACAGAUGUGAAAUCCCCGGGCUUAACCUGGGAACUGCAUUUGUGACUGCACGGCUAGAGUGUGUCAGAGGGGGGUAGAAUUCCACGUGUAGCAGUGAAAUGCGUAGAUAUCUGGAGGAACACCGGUGGCGAAGGCGCAUCCUGGACCGGCAUUGACGCUGAGGAGCGAAAGCCAGGGGAGCAAACGGGG